CGGUUAAGUUAGAAAGGGCGCACGGUGGAUGCCUUGGCACUAGGAGCCGAUGAAGGACGGGACGAACACCGAUAUGCUUCGGGGAGCUGUAAGCAAGCUUUGAUCCGGAGAUUUCCGAAUGGGGAAACCCACCACUCGUAAUGGAGUGGUAUCCAUAUCUGAAUACAUAGGAUAUGAGAAGGCAGACCCGGGGAACUGAAACAUCUAAGUACCCGGAGGAAGAGAAAGCAAAUGCGAUUCCCUGAGUAGCGGCGAGCGAAACGGGACCAGCCCAAACCAAGAGGCUUGCCUCUUGGGGUUGUAGGACACUCUGUACGGAGUUACAAAGGAACGAGGUAGAUGAAGAGGUCUGGAAAGGCCCGCCAUAGGAGGUAACAGCCCUGUAGUCAAAACUUCGUUCUCUCCUGAGUGGAUCCUGAGUACGGCGGAACACGUGAAAUUCCGUCGGAAUCCGGGAGGAGCAUCUCCCAAGGCUAAAUACUCCCUAGUGACCGAUAGUGAACCAGUACCGUGAGGGAAAGGUGAAAAGCACCCCGGAAGGGGAGUGAAAGAGAUCCUGAAACCGUGUGCCUACAAGUAGUCAGAGCCCGUUAACGGGUGAUGGCGUGCCUUUUGUAGAAUGAACCGGCGAGUUACGAUCCCGUGCAAGGUUAAGCAGAAGAUGCGGAGCCGCAGCGAAAGCGAGUCUGAAUAGGGCGAAUUGAGUACGUGGUCGUAGACCCGAAACCAGGUGAUCUACCCAUGUCCAGGGUGAAGUUCAGGUAACACUGAAUGGAGGCCCGAACCCACGCACGUUGAAAAGUGCGGGGAUGAGGUGUGGGUAGGGGUGAAAUGCCAAUCGAACCUGGAGAUAGCUGGUUCUCUCCGAAAUAGCUUUAGGGCUAGCCUCAAGGUAAGAGUCUCGGAGGUAGAGCACUGAUUGGACUAGGGGCCCCUACCGGGUUACCGAAUUCAGUCAAACUCCGAAUGCCGAUGACUUAUCCUUGGGAGUCAGACUGCGAGUGAUAAGAUCCGUAGUCGAAAGGGAAACAGCCCAGACCGCCAGCUAAGGUCCCAAAGUAUACGUUAGGUGGAAAAGGAUGUGGAGUUGCUUAGACAACCAGGAUGUUGGCUUAGAAGCAGCCACCAUUUAAAGAGUGCGUAAUAGCUCACUGGUCGAGUGACUCUGCGCCGAAAAUGUACCGGGGCUAAACGUAUCACCGAAGCUGCGGACUGUUCUUCGAACAGUGGUAGGAGAGCGUUCUAAGGGCUGUGAAGCAAGACCGGAAGGACUUGUGGAGCGCUUAGAAGUGAGAAUGCCGGUAUGAGUAGCGAAAGAGGGGUGAGAAUCCCCUCCACCGAAUGCCUAAGGUUUCCUGAGGAAGGCUCGUCCGCUCAGGGUUAGUCGGGACCUAAGCCGAGGCCGAAAGGCGUAGGCGAUGGAUAACAGGUUGAUAUUCCUGUACCACCUCCUCACCAUUUAAUCGCGUAUGAGCAAUGGGGGGACGCAGGAGGAUAGGGUAAGCGCGGUAUUGGAUAUCCGCGUCCAAGCAGUUAGGCUGGGAAAUAGGCAAAUCCGUUUCCUGUGAAGGCUGAGCUGUGAUGGCGAGCGAAUUAUAGUAGCGAAGUUCCUGAUUCCACACUGCCAAGAAAAGCCUCUAGCGAGGUGAGAGGUGCCCGUACCGCAAACCGACACAGGUAGGCGAGGAGAGAAUCCUAAGGUGAUCGAGAGAACUCUCGUUAAGGAACUCGGCAAAAUGACCCCGUAACUUCGGGAGAAGGGGUGCUCUGUUAGGGUGCAAGCCCGAGAGAGCCGCAGUGAAUAGGCCCAGGCGACUGUUUAGCAAAAACACAGGUCUCUGCGAAGCCGUAAGGCGAAGUAUAGGGGCUGACGCCUGCCCGGUGCUGGAAGGUUAAGAGGAGCGCUUAGCGUAAGCGAAGGUGCGAAUUGAAGCCCCAGUAAACGGCGGCCGUAACUAUAACGGUCCUAAGGUAGCGAAAUUCCUUCGCACGAAAGGCGCAACGAUCUGGGCACUGUCUCAACGAGAGACUCGGUGAAAUUAUAGUACCUGUGAAGAUGCAGGUUACCCGCGACAGGACGGAAAGACCCCGUGGAGCUUUACUGCAGCCUGAUAUUGAAUGUUGGUACAGCUUGUACAGGAUAGGUAGGAGCCUUGGAAACCGGAGCGCCAGCUUCGGUGGAGGCAUCGGUGGGAUACUACCCUGGCUGUAUUGACCUUCUAACCCGCCGCCCUUAUCGGGCGGGGAGACAGUGUCAGGUGGGCAGUUUGACUGGGGCGGUCGCCUCCUAAAAGGUAACGGAGGCGCCCAAAGGUUCCCUCAGAAUGGUUGGAAAUCAUUCGCAGAGUGUAAAGGCACAAGGGAGCUUGACUGCGAGACCUACAAGUCGAGCAGGGACGAAAGUCGGGCUUAGUGAUCCGGUGGUUCCGCAUGGAAGGGCCAUCGCUCAACGGAUAAAAGCUACCCCGGGGAUAACAGGCUUAUCUCCCCCAAGAGUCCACAUCGACCGGGAGGUUUGGCACCUCGAUGUCGGCUCAUCGCAUCCUGGGGCUGUAGUCGGUCCCAAGGGUUGGGCUGUUCGCCCAUUAAAGCGGUACGCGAGCUGGGUUCAGAACGUCGUGAGACAGUUCGGUCCCUAUCCGUCGCGGGCGCAGGAAAUUUGAGAGGAGCUGUCCUUAGUACGAGAGGACCGGGAUGGACGCACCGCUGGUGUACCAGUUGUUCUGCCAAGGGCAUCGCUGGGUAGCUAUGUGCGGACGGGAUAAGUGCUGAAAGCAUCUAAGCAUGAAGCCCCCCUCAAGAUGAGAUUUCCCAUUCCGCAAGGAAGUAAGAUCCCUGAAAGAUGAUCAGGUUGAUAGGUCUGAGGUGGAAGUGUGGCGACACAUGGAGCUGACAGAUACUAAUCGAUCGAGGACUUAACCAAUUU
rnacentral:rRNA from 1 species